rnacentral:rRNA from 1 species
GAUGAACGCUGGCGGCGUGCCUAAUACAUGCAAGUCGAGCGAAUGGAUUGAGAGCUUGCUCUUAUGAAGUUAGCGGCGGACGGGUGAGUAACACGUGGGUAACCUGCCCAUAAGACUGGGAUAACUCCGGGAAACCGGGGCUAAUACCGGAUAACAUUUUGAACCGCAUGGUUCGAAAUUGAAAGGCGGCUUCGGCUGUCACUUAUGGAUGGACCCGCGUCGCAUUAGCUAGUUGGUGAGGUAACGGCUCACCAAGGCAACGAUGCGUAGCCGACCUGAGAGGGUGAGCGGCCACACUGGGACUGAGACACGGCCCAGACUCCUACGGGAAGCAGCAGUAGGGAAGCUUCCGCAAUGGACGAAAGUCUGACGGAGCAACGCCGCGUGAGUGAUGAAGGCUUUCGGGUCGUAAAACUCUGUUGUUAGGGAAGAACAAGUGCUAGUUGAAUAAGCUGGCACCUUGACGGUACCUAACCAGAAAGCCACGGCUAACUACGUGCCAGCAGCCGCCGUAA